rnacentral:lncRNA from 1 species
GACAGUGUUCUCUACCCAUUCAUUGAUCCUUUCAGCAAAUACAUGUGGCCUUAGCGUCCUGAAUUCUGACACUGGCCUAUGCAGUUCCCUAGAGUGGGUGCUGUGAAUAGAAGCAUCAGAGCCAUCAGAGGUUUCUGAUUUCUUGGCCUCACCUUCAGAACAGCUGAACAUCAGCUCUAGGAAGUGGGACCAAGCAACGUGUAUCUAUCUUCCCUGGCUUCCUGGGUGAUGCUUAUUCCCCGAGAUUGGCGACUCUGCCCCAGUGGAACAAGCAUGAGCAGGGCACAAGCACUCCUUGUCUCUGAGGAACUUCAAUUGCAUACUUCUUGCAACUUUGUGAUGAAAAAGCAGAAACACAAUCAAAUUAAUUUCCCGGUCACAA